GUGCAUGCUUCGACAGCACAUAUACUAAAAUUGGAACGAUACAGAGAUUAGCAUGGCCCCUGUGCGAUAAUAAUAAUAAGAAAAAUAAUUUGGAGAAACCACUUAUU
rnacentral:snRNA from 1 species